UGCCAGCCGCCGCGGUAACACGGGGGGCGCAAGCGUUAUUCGGAAUUAUUGGGCGUAAAGGGCGCGCAGGCGGUCUUGUCCGUCAGGUGUGAAAGCUCGGGGCUCAACCCCGGAAGUGCACUUGAAACAGCAAGACUUGAAUACGGUAGAGGAGAGAGGAAUUCCGGGUGUAGCGGUGAAAUGCGUAGAUAUCCGGAGGAACAUCAGUGGCGAAGGCGGCUUUCUGGACCAAAAUUGACGCUGAGGCACGAAAGCGUGGGUAGCAAACAGGAUUAGAUA
rnacentral:rRNA from 1 species